rnacentral:lncRNA from 1 species
AUCAGCAAAUAAAGGAGGCUUGCAAUUGUGGACAUGCAAACCACGAUUGAAAUCAUCUUAGUGCGAUGUGUUUCUCAAUAUAUAGCAACAUUGAGAUGUUGGUGCAAGCUGAAAUGUCAGCGGCACAUAAGGAGCAGUCAGUUAUUAGUGGAAGUUGAAAUGCUAGACGCAAGGUACGUAUAGCAUAGAGCAAGUUUAUUUCCACUUAUCUCGUAGUGGUGACGACAUGAUUCCUAGCCCAACCCAGCCUGCACGCAAUAACCUGAGGGAGCAAUGCAGCCUGCACCAAGUCCCUACAGCUGUGCUCCUCCCUUCCGACAGCUCAUUGAGUAGAUGAAUUAGCUAUAUUAGUACUUUACUGUGUGAACUGCGGUCGAUCUUAUAUAUGCAAUCUAUGUGUGGAACUAUUAUAACUUGUACUUGUCUUAAAUCAUGAUGUGAACAAUUAGUUAUGUACUUUACGGUGAAAUCUGCUAUGCGGUGCUGAAAUUCCUGGAGAAACCAUGCUAAAAUUUUUGUUAUAUACAUACUGAAAUUUCUGUUCUGCUACUGGAAUCAAGUCUGAAGAGCUGUUCAAAAAGUGUCUACUGUUUUUUUAACUGAGGCGCCUUCUGUCAGAAUAAGCUCUGGAGGCUGCUCAAAUGAAUUUGCAAUACAAGUUAACAUGGACUUAACAGAUGUGCUAAUGGGCUACAACAG